AGGAAAAAUUUAUUGUUAUUUGUUGUUAAAAGUGCCCCCACGUUCUCUUUAUUGCCUGUGAAUGACCAUUGGACAUGAAAUGUUGACAAUAUCCAGGAGAUCCCCUUUUAGACUCGAUCACUGAUGAAGGCUUGGAGACCGAGCCGAAAGCUCUGAGAAGAGUUGAUGUUUUUCCUGGAGUAACUCCAAAUUCCCCGACGAAUUUCCGGUUCCCAUAUAUUGUA